rnacentral:lncRNA from 1 species
GCCCAUGGGAAGCCAGUGUUCCUCUGGGUGCUCGUUGGGUGCAAGGAUGCACGUUGGGUUUGAGGGUGACCAUCAGGUCUAACAGUGCCCAUUGGGUGCUCGUUGGGUGGAAGGGUGGAAGGGUGCUCAUUGGGUGCCCGUUGGGUUUGGGGGUGCUCAUUGGGUGCCAUUGGGUUCAGGAUGUCCAUUGGGUGCCCGUUGAGUUUGGGGGUGCCUGUUGGGUGCGGGGGGGGGUGACCAUUGGGUGCCCAUUGGGUGCCAGGGUGGCUGUUGGGUUUGAGGGUGACCAUUGGGUGCCCAUUGGGUGCCAGGGUGGCUGUUGGGUAUGAGGGUGACCAUUGGGUGCCCAUUGGGUGCCAGGGUGGCUGUUGGGUUUGAGGGUGACCAUUGGGUGCCCAUGGGGUGCCAGUGUUCCUCUGGGUGCUCGUUGGGUGCAAGGGUGCACAUUGGGUUUGAGGGUGACCAUCAGGUCUAACAGUGCCCAUUGGGUGCUCGUUGGGUGGAAGGGUGGAAGGGUGCUCAUUGGGUGCCCGUUGGGUUUGGGGGUGCUCAUUGGGUGCCAUUGGGUUCAGGAUGUCCAUUGGGUG